AACAAUUCCUCAUUGUGAAAUAAUAAUUCUGUCAUCAACAUGCAGACAGCUUAGUGGUUACACAGCAGCUAGCUAUCCUAUCCCACCUGCAGGUAUCCUUGUCAAUGCAACUUUGAUUUGUCAGGCAGCUGGUUGAGAUCCCUUGAAGUCAAGAUGAGCCAGGUCUGGGAGGAUUCCUGAUGAUAUCACUUUGUUACCCAAAUUUCCUUCCCCGUGGCCAGUGACUGGGUAACAAGUGAGCAUGGGACAGUGCGGAUGAUUUGAACUCAAGACGAGAUCCACUAGAAGCAUGAAGGAACAAAUGGUGGUGUGCCAGGAGACAGCCCCUAGAAAGUUAAUCCUACUUUGAAGACCUCUAAUUUCCCAGUCCUCAGCCAUAGCUGAUUGGACCAGGAAUAGGUGUCUGAAUGAAUAAACCACUGACUCUCAGAAAUUUGAACUGAAAGAGACAGAGCUACUUGAGCUGAAGAGUCAUAUGGAGGCUCCAUGGAAGUAGUGGUUUUCAGCAAAGCAUAAGAUAAUCAAACAUCAGAUACCCUUGGAGGAGAGAAUGACAAAUGGAUAGAUGUACAGAGUGAAAUGAAGUCAUAAGAAAGAGAGAUGCAGAGAUGGCAUUAUGUGAAGACAUUAACCUUGGUUACCAAAUUAAAUAUCCAGGCCCUGGACAGCCAACUA